UGUGGACAAGGAGCCCUCAGAGAGAGGUGGACAAGGAGCCCUCAGAGAGGUGGACAAGGAGCCCUCAGAGAGGUGGACAAGGAGCCAUCAGAGAGGUGGACAAGGAGCCAUCAGAGAGGUGGACAAGGAGCCAUCAGAGAGGUGGACAAGGAGCCCUCAGAGAGGUGGACAAGGAGCCAUCAGAGAGGUGGGCAUGGGCCCAGAGCGAGAGAGAGAUCUGUUUUUGGUGACAUCAACAACAACAAAGAAUCCCACUGCUUGUAUUCUAGCCUGCAGAGUUAUCGAUCCACAUGCCCUGCACCACCAGAUUAAUGAGGAAGGGUCCAUUACACACAAACACAUGACCACACACACACUACAUCACAGAUGAAGAUGCAAUACUUACACAAGAUAG
ensembl:lncRNA